ACAGAAAUUUGGUUGAGUCGAUUCAACAAAAUGAAUUGUUGAAUUCAAACCCUUCGGUUUGUUGAACCGUUUAUCAGGUUUUGUCGUACCAACAAUCAGUUUUUGUUGCAAUGACAAAUAUAUUGGACGAUUCAAUAAUCAUGUUGUUGGUUAAGUUUUUUUUUUUAAUUUAACAGUGUAUUGUUUUGCCGGAGUAAACAAGAAACAAUGUCCGAAUGUAAUCGUGACUUACUGCGAAAUUUAAGAAAAUAAACGAAAUAUGUGCGAAUAUCCCACUGAAGUAAACCUUGGUUUCAAAGAAAUUUAAUCUAUGAUACAAUUUAUAUUUCGUAGAAAAUGGUUGCGCACUGCUUUACGGACUUACGGCGAAAAUAAAAUUGAACCCGGUUCCACUUUCAGAGGAUGAAAAUCAGCAGAAUUCCACAUGUUUCGAAUCCUGUCAGGAAUUCAUAUUCCAUCCAGUCUUCCCAACAUAACCUAGUGUGGAUGCCGCCUUCAACGCAGCUGUUGACGGUAAUUCAACGGGGAAGAAACUGGCGAAUUUUUAUGCGUAUUCUUAAUCAAUGUUAAACGUGUUUCAGGAGAUUAUGUUAUGCAUAUGAUGAAAAGCUCGGUAAAUAAAUGCAAAAAAUAUAGA